AGUGAACGCUGGCGGUAGGCCUAACACAUGCAAGUCGAACGGCAGCACAGUAAGAGCUUGCUCUUACGGGUGGCGAGUGGCGGACGGGUGAGGAAUACAUCGGAAUCUACUUUUUCGUGGGGGAUAACGUAGGGAAACUUACGCUAAUACCGCAUAUGACCUACGGGUGAAAGCAGGGGAUCUUCGGACCUUGCGCGAUUGAAUGAGCCGAUGUCGGAUUAGCUAGUUGGCGGGGUAAAGGCCCACCAAGGCGACGAUCCGUAGCUGGUCUGAGAGGAUGAUCAGCCACACUGGAACUGAGACACGGUCCAGACUCCUACGGGAGGCAGCAGUGGGGAAUAUUGGACAAUGGACGCAAGCCUGAUCCAGCCAUACCGCGUGGGUGAAGAAGGCCUUCGGGUUGUAAAGCCCUUUUGUUGGGAAAGAAAAGCAGCAGGUUAAUACCCCGCUGUUCUGACGGUACCCAAAGAAUAAGCACCGGCUAACUUCGUG
rnacentral:rRNA from 1 species